rnacentral:misc_RNA from 1 species
AACACCCUCCCCCGGGCCUUCUCAUAGCGCGUUGGCAAGGGGGGUUUUGGCCGUCUGGCUCUCCACGGGUCCGCUUCGGCGGCCCGACCGGGCCCGGCUCAAAUACCAGGUCUGUAGGCAGGAGUGUGCUGUCGGUCGACGUAAUGGUAACACGUAACGUCGAUCCAGCCCCAUAGUCCUUCAGAACCACAAACGGCGUGCCUCGCGCGGCGACGCCACACCAGCA